CGUGGGAAGCCGCUCUGCCCAAUCUCCGUCUGUGCUGCCAGACCCACCGCGGCCAGCUGUCACAGGGUCGCCGUCAAGCCGUGUCGGAGGAGGAACGCCACCGAUGUGCCUCCAUCGUCACUGAGGACGCCGGUUGUCGCUGCCGCCAUCAGAAAAGGGCUCAGGUCGCCGCCGGUGUCGCUACCGGAUAAGGGAGCUGCAUCUCUGUGAUUCUGACCGCUGGGGAUGGUCCUGUGACUUCCGGGAUCUCUGCCGGAGCUCUGGGCUGAGCCUCUACCGCUUGAGACCCUGCUGCUGUCGCCGGAAAAGGGUGCCGAUGUCGUGAUCGGAAUUUGUCGCCGCUGCCGCUUGAGGUGGCUGCCGGGCUGUUGCCGAGCCGGCCCGGAGAACGCCACUGUUUCGGUUCAGCCGUCCUUUCUUAGUUUCGUGUUGCGAUGGUUAUUGCGAAAGUGGCUGGGAGCUGAGGUUUUGGUUGCCGUCAGUCCGGGUUGAGGCGGAAAGGACUUGAAGAGGCGUUUGUGUUAUGGAAUUGCGUUUUGAGGAUAUGGGCGCAGAAGUCACGAAGAGUUUAUUUUGUUAUUGAGAUGCUCUGUGUUGCUUUAGAUUAUUAUUUUUGUACCCUCGCCUUUAUCUUGAUUUAUUCUGUAAGAGGUAUAGGAAUUGUAUUGGUUAAUGUUUGUAAUAUUAUUUAUGUAUAUGUAUGUAUAUAUAUGGAUGUACUCUUUAUGAGUUUUUGUAAGUUGUAUGGUAUCUAUGGAUGUACGU